CCCCAGCCGGGCGGGGCCGAGCCAACGCCGGGCGCGAGGUGAGCGCGGGCGCCCGGCCGGGAAGCCUGCCCUCUGCUGCACCCUCCCGGGCUCGGUCCUCCUGGCCUUGGCCCGUCACCCCGCCUCAGCUGGACCUCCAACCCCCUCUCCGCCCGCAGGGACCCCCGCCCGGGCACCCAGAGCGCACCCGGGCGCACUAGGCGCAACGCAGGUGGGCAGUGCCACCGCCAACCGCGACCAGACGCCGCUUCUGCUGGAGAUCCUGACUUCGGUCCUCUGGCAGCUAUUGGGCGAAAGUUCUCCGAGCUACUUCCGGGGACGAAGGCGCCACCUGUCCCGGGGCGCGACCCUUUCCCAGGACUUUUUUCUCCAGAAAGAAAAUCUGGACCUGCUACACUGAGCCUACAGACAGUCCUACAGUAAUGAAUCAGUGCAUCUACAGAGGAAUGGAAUCAAACAAGGAAAGGCCUAAGCGACAGCGGCAGAACCACACUCCCGUGUUUCCCUCUCCCAAGACCUGGAACUUCAGAGGGCGGAAACGGAAGCAGAGUGCUCAGGAUGAAGAUGCAGUCAGCCUUUGCAGUCUCGACAUAAAUGUAAGUUCGGUCUUUGCCUACCUUGCCCAGGACAAGCCUGUUGCUCCUUUCUGAAUAUUGUUUGUGCAUAUGCUGUUUCUUUUUUUUUUCUUUUUUCUUUUUUCUUUUAUUAUUCAUAUGUGCAUACAAGGCUUGGUUCAU